CAGCAGUCGGAGAAGAAGAGACGGUGACUAACCUCCGUAACUUGUUCUUCGAGAUGUUGC
rnacentral:pre_miRNA from 1 species